UUCAGAACAACCCAUUUGUCCCAGUGAGCAGCACAAGCAUCGAAUUCCCCUCAAUGAGAAUUAAAUGCUUUCAAAGUGUUCACAUCUGACUGCAUGUGCAUGACAGCUCAGUCCUCCCAAAGCAGGCAAGUUCAGCUUGUGACCGUAGGCCACAAACUGCCUGUCAGGAGAUUCCAGGCUGUUCCUUGCUCUCUUUUUGAAAAGGCUGAGAGCAAAGCAUGGGCUGAAUGGAUUUUCCUCAAACGAGGAACAGCUCCUCUAUUCACUGCUUGCCCAGUCUGCCUCUGGACUACCCCCAUGCACUAACACACUAGUUCCUGCCCACAGCUCAAGAGAGAACAGGAGGCUGUCUGAAACCUAAGCCUUAAAAUGCUCUUAUAAGAUAGCAAGCCAACACACACAUAGGGAAUCCACAUCUGAGAAAAGGGGAGCAGUAAAAGAAAGUCAAAAAAGUAAUACAAAUCCACCCUAGCAGAAAGGGGGCCGCAUAAUAAUAAGUUAUAUGGAAUUACAUAAAGGUAUUAUAACCACAGCAUUUUUUAAAAAUUCUAGCAGAAAAACAAAUCCAAGAGCCAGUGAAAUAACUUUGACCUAGAGAAUUUGACAGUCCUCCCUUGGUGUCAUGUGAACUGACUCCUUACUACUACAGACAGCAAGAACCAGAAGAAGUAUUUCAUAGCUCUAAAAUUAUUCAUUUCUAAGAAACUUUUGUUAGACCCUUAUGCACGAGCACACUCUGACAGUAUUCACAUCAGCUGAAGGUUUCUGUGAACAGGGGAAGACUGAGAGACCACAUACAGACCUUGGUCUUCACACGUGCUGCAGUCCUCAUUAGAGCAGCCUCUAGUAUUUUACAAAAACAAAACUUCUCCAUCACAUCUACAAAUGUGAAUCAGAUGACCAUGAAAGACUUCCCAUUUUAUCACCAUCCCACUUACAACAGAAACAGGACUUUUCAGAAUGUACCAAGUGUUGGAAUGAGACUCCAGAGCCAGCUGCACAAGCAUCCCUCAGACUUCUGGAGUGCUGGCCUGUAAUGAGCUGAUUUUAAUCAGUGCCUCUGUGGUGCCACCAAUAAUGUCUCAGGACUGAGAGGAAAAAGGAAAACACUGUUUUUUCAUGCUGCUUCUGCAUGAUCUUCCCUACAGUCUGUCUCACCUUCUUUUGCCUCUAGUCAAAACCCAACUAUUCUUAUCAUGGCAGUAGUGAGCCCAUGUAGACAUUCAGUGAAAUUCUGUCUUUAGGUAAAACAGUUCUUACUUUUCUAUUCAGAAUCAUUCCUAAUCAAACCCUCUUUUGCUAGGUAUAACCAAUUUCCUCCAAAUCAAACAUAAUCAACCCUUUUCCUGUGAUAAGAUGUAGCUGUAAUAGCCCACCCCAAGGUUAAGUCCUCCCUCCCCAGUAUUUUACAAAAGCACCUCUUUGACCUGACCCAACACAAAUCAAAACUAAUGUCUUUCCCAUGGUCCAAAACAACUUCUCCCCAAAAUAAACUCUCCUCUUGACAUUAAAAGGAAAUGACCCCUGCAAAUUCAGGAAGUCAUGGUGCAGCAGAGUGAUUGUAGUCCUAAAGACACUUUAACCUUUUCAUUUACUGCAAGCAUCAUCCUUCUCCCUGUCGUCAACCCAUAAUGUAAAAGGUGAAGUGUGGACUAAGAGGGAUGGAGCAGAAAAUGUUGGCAGGCUGGAGAUUGUUACCUUCUGGUCCAGCACAGGCACACAGGAUCCAGCUGAGGCUUGAAAGCUGUUCAGAGCAGGCAAAGGGGGGAAAGGGUAUUGGGGGUUAUCACUACCACUGGUACAUUCCCCAAGCAAAUAUUGAUGUGAUAAUGUAAGUAAAAGGCAUUUUAUUUAAAGUCCAAAGUAAUAUGCCUGUGAAACAUGGUCGCAAAUGAUAUCAUUGAGGCCAAGUGCUUAGCAGGAUUCAGUAAAAGGUUAUACAUACAUAUUCAUACAUUUGUGCGGGGAAUUAGAUUGGACCUGAUAAAAAUUCAUAAUGGAUAUAAAUGUUCACAGUUCAGGGCAUAAAUCAGCCACCAGCCUGAGGUUAGAAAAUAACUUCCCCUAGAGUCAGGCUGUUACAUAAUUAUCAAUUAUACUUGCAGAGGGGGAAAGGAGGUUGAAGAAUAGGCCAAUUUCCUCAGAGACAUCUGGGAAUUACUAUUGGCAGACAACUAAUUUAGAUUUUAUCUGGUAUGGAAGUUCUUAUUACAUCAAAUAAUGUAAUUUAGAAUUAAAGCAUGUGAUUUAUUUUGUAUUUUUUAUUCUUCAUGUAAUCAAGUUCUUGCCUAAGGGCAGGCCUUUCCAUUACAAGCCAGCUGAAGUUAGUGAAAUUCACUGUGCUGUGUUUUCUCACCAAAUCUCUUUAAAAACAGCUUCAUAUUUUGCAAGGAAAUCAGGCAGAGUCACAGCAAUUUAGUUUAUCAAAACUAGCCAACUAAUACAGCCAACUUAGUGUCUAUAUUAGCAGAGAAAAAGUUACCUGUGUGAACUGCAGCAAA